rnacentral:misc_RNA from 1 species
GAUGAAGAACGCAGCGAAAUGCGAUAAGUAAUGUGAAUUGCAGAAUUCAGUGAAUCAUCGAAUCUUUGAACGCACAUUGCGCCCGCCAGUAUUCUGGCGGGCAUGCCUGUUCGAGCGCCAUUUCAACCCUCAAGCCCAGCUUGGUGUUGGGGAUCGGCACAGGCGCCCUCGGGCGCCCGCCGUCCCCUAAAUCUAGUGGCGGUCCCGCUGCAGCCUCCUCUGCGUAGUAGUUUUCUCCUCGCAAGGGCAGCUCGGUGGCGACCUCGCCGUAAAACCCCCAACUUCUGAAAGGUUGACCUCGAAUCAGGUAGGAAUACCCGCUGAACUUAAGCAUAUCAAUAAGCGGAGGA